rnacentral:rRNA from 1 species
GAGUUUGAUCCUGGCUCAGAUUGAACGCUGGCGGCAGGCCUAACACAUGCAAGUCGAGCGGUAGCACAGAGAGCUUGCUCUCGGGUGACGAGCGGCGGACGGGUGAGUAAUGUCUGGGAAACUGCCUGAUGGAGGGGGAUAACUACUGGAAACGGUAGCUAAUACCGCAUAACGUCGCAAGACCAAAGUGGGGGACCUUCGGGCCUCAUGCCAUCAGAUGUGCCCAGAUGGGAUUAGCUAGUAGGUGGGGUAACGGCUCACCUAGGCGACGAUCCCUAGCUGGUCUGAGAGGAUGACCAGCCACACUGGAACUGAGACACGGUCCAGACUCCUACGGGAGGCAGCAGUGGGGAAUAUUGCACAAUGGGCGCAAGCCUGAUGCAGCCAUGCCGCGUGUGUGAAGAAGGCCUUCGGGUUGUAAAGCACUUUCAGCGGGGAGGAAGGCGUUAAGGUUAAUAACCUUGGCGAUUGACGUUACCCGCAGAAGAAGCACCGGCUAACUCCGUGCCAGCAGCCGCGGUAAUACGGAGGGUGCAAGCGUUAAUCGGAAUUACUGGGCGUAAAGCGCACGCAGGCGGUCUGUCAAGUCGGAUGUGAAAUCCCCGGGCUCAACCUGGGAACUGCAUUCGAAACUGGCAGGCUAGAGUCUUGUAGAGGGGGGUAGAAUUCCAGGUGUAGCGGUGAAAUGCGUAGAGAUCUGGAGGAAUACCGGUGGCGAAGGCGGCCCCCUGGACAAAGACUGACGCUCAGGUGCGAAAGCGUGGGGAGCAAACAGGAUUAGAUACCCUGGUAGUCCACGCCGUAAACGAUGUCGAUUUGGAGGUUGUGCCCUUGAGGCGUGGCUUCCGGAGCCUAACUG